UACGUAGGGGGCAAGCGUUGUCCGGAUUUAUUGGGCGUAAAGAGCGUGUAGGCGGUUUGGUAGGUCCGCUGUGAAAACUCGAGGCUCAACCUCGAGACGCCGGUGGAAACCAUCAGACUAGAGUCCGGAAGAGGAGAGUGGAAUUCCUGGUGUAGCGGUGAAAUGCGCAGAUAUCAGGAAGAACACCCGUGGCUAAGGCGGCUCUCUAGUACGGUACUGACGCUGAGACGCGAAAGCGUGGGGGAGCGAACGGG
rnacentral:rRNA from 1 species